CCUACGGGGGGCAGCAGUGGGGAAUAUUGGACAAUGGGGGCAACCCUGAUCCAGCCAUGCCGCGUGUGUGAAGAAGGCCCUCGGGUUGUAAAGCACUUUCAGUGAGGAAGAACGCCUGGUGGUUAAUACCCAUCAGGAAAGACAUCACUCACAGAAGAAGCACCGGCUAACUCCGUGCCAGCAGUCGCGGUAAUACGGAGGGUGCGAGCGUUAAUCGGAAUUACUGGGCGUAAAGCGCGCGUAGGUGGCUUGAUAAGCCGGUUGUGAAAGCCCCGGGCUCAACCUGGGAACGGCAUCCGGAACUGUCAAGCUAGAGUGCAGGAGAGGAAGGUAGAAUCCCCGGUGUAGCGGUGAAAUGCGUAGAGAUCGGGAGGAAUACCAGUGGCGAAGGCGGCCUUCUGGACUGACACUGACACUGAGGUGCGAAAGCGUGGGUAGCAAACAGGAUUAGAUACCCUGGUAGUC
rnacentral:rRNA from 1 species